rnacentral:rRNA from 1 species
UACGGAAGGCAGCAGUGGGGAAUAUUGCACAAUGGGCGCAAGCCUGAUGCAGCCAUGCCGCGUGUAUGAAGAAGGCCUUCGGGUUGUAAAGUACUUUCAGUCGUGAGGAAGGUGUUAAGGUUAAUAACCUUAGCAAUUGACGUUAGCGGCAGAAGAAGCACCGGCUAACUCCGUGCCAGCAGCCGCGGUAAUACGGAGGGUGCGAGCGUUAAUCGGAAUUACUGGGCGUAAAGGGCACGCAGGCGGUUAAUUAAGUUGGAUGUGAAAUCCCCGGGCUUAACCUGGGAAUGGCAUUCAAGACUGGUUAGCUAGAGUCUUGUAGAGGGGGUAGAAUUCCAUGUGUAGCGGUGAAAUGCGUAGAGAUGUGGAGGAAUACCGGUGGCGAAGGCGGCCCCUGGGACAAAGACUGACGCUCAUGUGCGAAAGCGUGGGGAGCAAACAGGAUUAGAUACC